UUUUUCACUCUUUAAGGUCUCUCUUCACAUGGAAAAAUUCUAGAAUGCAACGGGUAUAUUAGUGACGUGGCGUAACAAACCAAUUAAAUUAAUUCUUUUAAGAAUAUAUGUCCCAUCAUGAUUGUAAAAAAGUAUUUUUAUUGUACUUUUGUUUGAAAAGAAGGAAUGUGAUUGGCUUGUUAUUGAUGACGUGGUGCAAGUGUGACAGUGUAGAAUUCCUCACAUGGGAUGCAUCUUUAUAGUAAGACGGAAAUCAUCAUUAUCGAUCACUCUAAUAAUUCGAAUCUCAAAGCAAAGGGAUUUACGACAGUGGAUCCCGUGUCUCACGUACGGUGAGGUGCAUAUUGUAUUAUGGAUUGUUGGUAUUAAUCACUAUAAGAAAAUUAAUAUUUAAAGACGUUAUUUUUUAUAUUUAACGAUGUUUAAACAAAUUCAAAAUAGUCCACCGUCAUAUUUAAAACUGUUGGCAAAAUAAAAAAUCGGUACGUAUAUACUGAUAUUUUAAGACGUCGAAAAAUUAAAAUUAAUAGUAAAAUUUAUCAUUCAAUAAAUUAAUUUGAUAUAAUAGAUAGUCCAUGUGACGACAUUUUUUGAAAAGUUAGCAUUUGCUAUAUUGUAGGGAGGUUUGGAAACGUUUCUUCUAAGCGUCGUCUAAAAAACAUCCUUGUAAUAAGAUUUUUCUCGUAGUGAAACAUUAUUCCAAAAGCCCAAAGAAAGAAAACAACAAACUCACCUAAAAUAUAUAUUCUGAAUAUAUAAUGCUCAUAGAUCUUGAUUAUGAUUCAAUUCACCCCAGUCUCUGUCACGUGGAUAGAAUGUUGGCCUACUUGCCACAUUUUAAGUAGCUGCAUAUAAAGAAAUGAGAAUGAUUAAAUCAAAAGCUAUAAUAUGUCGAAUAUCAACAAAUUUCAAGCCACUUCCUUGACUUCUUAUUGAGAGAAUGAUAGCAUAAUAUUAUUUUAUUUAUUAUUUUUAAAAGUAAACUUAGUUGACAAUGUGAAGUAAAUAGAUUUUAAACUUGAAACAUUUGGUACUAGCUAUUUAAUCUUUUGU
rnacentral:lncRNA from 1 species